AUUGAACGUGGCGGCAUGCCUUACACAUGCAAGUCGAACGGCAGCAUGAUCUAGCUUGCUAGAUUGAUGGCGAGUGGCGAACGGGUGAGUAAUACAUCGGAACGUGCCCUGUAGUGGGGGAUAACUAGUCGAAAGAUUAGCUAAUACCGCAUACGACCUGAGGGUGAAAGUGGGGGACCGCAAGGCCUCAUGCUAUAGGAGCGGCCGAUGUCUGAUUAGCUAGUUGGUGAGGUAAAGGCUCACCAAGGCGACGAUCAGUAGCUGGUCUGAGAGGACGAUCAGCCACACUGGGACUGAGACACGGCCCAGACUCCUACGGGAGGCAGCAGUGGGGAAUUUUGGACAAUGGGGGCAACCCUGAUCCAGCAAUGCCGCGUGUGUGAAGAAGGCCUUCGGGUUGUAAAGCACUUUUGUCCGGAAAGAAAUCGCACUUACUAAUAUUAGGUGUGGAU
rnacentral:rRNA from 1 species